UACAGAGGUCUCAAGCGUUGUUCGGAUUCAUUGGGCGUAAAGGGUGCGUAGGCGGCGUGGUAAGUCGGAUGUGAAAUCUCGGAGCUUAACUCCGAAACUGCAUUCGAUACUGCCGUGCUUGAGGACUGGAGAGGAGACUGGAAUUUACGGUGUAGCGGUGAAAUGCGUAGAUAUCGUAAGGAAGACCAGUGGCGAAGGCGGGUCUCUGGACAGUUCCUGACGCUGAGGCACGAAGGCCAGGGGAGCAAACGGGG
rnacentral:rRNA from 1 species